rnacentral:rRNA from 1 species
CCUACGGGUGGCAGCAGUGGGGAAUAUUGGACAAUGGGCGAAAGCCUGAUCCAGCCAUGCCGCGUGUGUGAAGAAGGCCUUCGGGUUGUAAAGCACUUUCAGUGGGGAAGAAAGCCUUGGGGCUAAUACCCUCGAGGAAGGACAUCACCCACAGAAGAAGCACCGGCUAACUCCGUGCCAGCAGCCGCGGUAAUACGGAGGGUGCGAGCGUUAAUCGGAAUUACUGGGCGUAAAGCGCGCGUAGGCGGUCUGAUAAGCCGGUUGUGAAAGCCCCGGGCUCAACCUGGGAACGGCAUCCGGAACUGUCAGGCUAGAGUGCAGGAGAGGAAGGUAGAAUUCCCGGUGUAGCGGUGAAAUGCGUAGAGAUCGGGAGGAAUACCAGUGGCGAAGGCGGCCUUCUGGACUGACACUGACGCUGAGGUGCGAAAGCGUGUGUAGCAAACAGGAUUAGAUACCCUAGUAGUC